rnacentral:rRNA from 1 species
GACCUCAGAUCAGGUAGGAAUACCCGCUGAAC